rfam:Triticum aestivum genome assembly, contig: Triticum_aestivum_CS42_TGACv1_scaffold_641201_T_4AL-0.112618_1BL-0.097098
AUUUUACUCCCUCCGUCCGGAAAUAUUUGUCAGUAAAAUGGAUGUAUCUAGAUGUAUUUUAGUUGUAGAUACAUCCAUUUUCAUCCAUUUUGAUGACAAGUAUUUCCGGACGGAGGGAGUACAAG